rnacentral:rRNA from 1 species
GAUGAACGCUGGCGGCGUGCCUAAUACAUGCAAGUCGAGCGAACAGACGAGGAGCUUGCUCCUCUGACGUUAGCGGCGGACGGGUGAGUAACACGUGGAUAACCUACCUAUAAGACUGGGAUAACUUCGGGAAACCGGAGCUAAUACCGGAUAAUAUAUUGAACCGCAUGGUUCAAUAGUUAAAGACGGUUUUGCUGUCACUUAUAGAUGGAUCCGCGCCGCAUUAGCUAGUUGGUAAGGUAACGGCUUACCAAGGCAACGAUGCGUAGCCGACCUGAGAGGGUGAUCGGCCACCCUGGAACUGAGACACGGUCCAGACUCCUACGGGAGGCAGCAGUAGGGAAUCUUCCGCAAUGGGCGAAAGCUUGACGGAGCAACGCCGCGUGAGUGAUGAAGGUCUUCGGAUCGUAAAACUCUGUUAUUAGGGAAGAACAAAUGUGUAAGUAACUAUGCACGUCUUGACGGUACCUAAUCAGAAAGCCACGGCUAACUACGUG